GCGUCCAUGGUCUAGUGGUUAUGAUUUAACCUUCCCACGAUUAUGUUACGAGGUUGAGAGACGGGUUCGAUUCCCGUUGGACGCA
rnacentral:tRNA from 1 species